rnacentral:rRNA from 1 species
AAGAGUAAAAUCAGUUUUUUAAAGAUAAAUAAAUCAUCUAUUAAUAAGUUAACAAACAAAGGAAAUAAACUAGGAUUAGAUACCCUACUAUACCUCUAAUAAAACCCAAUAUCUGAUUAAUAACAGUUAUGUACUCUAAAUUCAAAGAAUUUGGCGGUAUUUUAAUCUAAUUAGGGGAACCUGUCUUUUAAACGAUAAACCACGAAGAAUCUUACCUAAGUUUGUAUACCGUCAUUUAAAUAACUUCCAUAGAAACAAGUUGUUGAGAUAAUACCAUUAAAAUAUUAGAUCAAGGUGCAGCAUAUAUUUAGGUUAAGAUGGGUUACAAUAAAAUUUAUAUUACCACGAAUAAAUUUUUUUGAAGGUGGACUUAAAAGUAGACUAUUUCAAUAAGAUAGCCUGAUUUCAGCUCUAAAAUGUGCACAUAUCGCCCGUCGCUUUC